CACGAAGUCGGAAUUGCUAGUAAUGGCAGGUCAGCAUACUGCCGUGAAUACGUUCCCGGGCCUUGUACACACCGCCCGUCACACCAUGAGAGUUAGGAAUACCCGAAGCCUGUGAGCCAACUUUAUAAGAGGCAGCAGUCGAAGGUAGAACUAAUGAUUGGGGUGAAGUCGUAACAAGGUAGC
rnacentral:rRNA from 1 species